rnacentral:rRNA from 1 species
UACGUAGGGCGCAAGCGUUGUCCGGAAUUAUUGGCGUAAAGAGCUCGUAGGCGGUUUGUCGCGUCUGCUGUGAAAACCUAAGGCUCAACCUUGGGCUUGCAGUGGGUACGGGGCAGACUAGAGUGCGGUAGGGGUGACUGGAAAUUCCUGGUGUAGCGGUGGAAUGCGCAGAUAUCAGGAGGAACACCGAUGGCGAAGGCAG